UGAAACCCAAACAAUUUAAAUUAUCGUGGCGUUCUUUAAGAUUAACUUUUCAAACGAACACUCUCAGAAUAUGAUAUAUAUUAUGAAAUUAGUUUUCUGUUGUUUUUUACUUGGUUGCAAUAUCUCCAAAACGUUUUGUUUACCGUAGACACAGUAUUUCACCAAUGAACGACCGCAGUAACCGAAAACGGAACAGUACAGUAUUGUUAAUCGUUUGCUGAUCCCGACAACCUAGUUGUCAAUGUGUGCAUUUGGUUAUCGAACAACUUCAGCAAACAAAACCACCCUAAUGAUUUGUUCACUAAACUAGUAACCAGGUUGUUCAAAACUGCCUCGCAAAAACACGCUUAUUAAACAUAAUUAGUUAAAUAUUAUUGCUGCCAGCCAAAAUAUGCAGCUAAGAAUGGUUGAAUCCGUUGCUUCCACUCACUACUAAACGCAGUUGAACGUACGAUAUACUCGCAAAAAUUGAAAUUGUGGAAAAAAAAUAGGCAGUUGCCGUAUGCAUGUUUUGAAAAUAUAGGUACUUUCAGGAUCAUUACGCUGAGUACGGUUUUCAAUUAGAUAUUUUAUCUAUUGCAGAAGUCAAAAUAUUCGUUCUGAUGAUAUCCCGACGGGUUGACCAAUGAUUUGCGUUUGCAUUUGCAAACUAAUGGAUUUGUUUACGGGUUUUUUUUUCCGUGUUUUUUCAUCGACUAGGUUUUAACCUAGAUUUCGGACACUAACUUCCUUUGGGCCAUCGGGUAAUUUACAUUUGUCCGUGUCCCCUCUUAUGCUUUUUCUAAACCCACGGAAGCUUUCUGUCGACUGAAGGCGGUAGGUUUCAGGUUUAUACUAAGGCACUGAAUUUUUUAGACCGAUAGGGGUUUUCGUUGGGCGAGGGGAACGAAAAUCGACGAUCCAGUCAAACAGAGCGCAAUGGUUUUUAGAACAACUUUAUAUAUUAUGCAAAAUACGGGUUGGAAUAAUGCAGUGUUUUCGAUUGGGCGUACAUUAUUUUUGCAAAAAUACAAAAAAGCAUGAAUUAAUACCGAAUUAUAUUACAUUAUUAGUUAUUAUUAUUAUUAGUUAUUGCGUGUAUUGUGUUUGUGAAAUAUGUCUAAUGCUUAUAUAUGACAACGUAAAAAAAAUCCCCAAACGAAUUAAAAUGCGCGUGUCCAAUAAUAACAAUAAUCAUUAUUAUUAUUUUCAUAUUGUCCCGGUUCAGACCGAUGGUCUGCAAAAUAAAAAUUUACAAUCGGCGGAGGAAGGGAAAAAUAAAAACCAUUUUUCAAACAUAUUUUACCCCUAAAGCACAGAGGCACUACAGUCAAAUAAUA